rnacentral:rRNA from 1 species
GAUGAACGCUGGCGGCGUGCUUAACACAUGCAAGUCGAACGAGAAGUGAAGACGGAAACCUUCGGGCGGAAGGCUUUAUUUCGAGUGGCGGACGGGUGAGUAACGCGUGGGUAACCUGCCUCAUACAGGGGGAUAACAGUUGGAAACGACUGUUAAUACCGCAUAAGACCACAGCACCGCAUGGUGCGGGGGUAAAAACUCCGGUGGUAUGAGAUGGACCCGCGUUCGAUUAGCCAGUUGGCGGGGUAACGGCCCACCAAAGCGACGAUCGAUAGCCGAGCUGAGAGGAUGACCGGCCACAUUGGGACUGAGACACGGCCCAAACUCCUACGGGAGGCAGCAGUGGGGAAUAUUGCACAAUGGGGGAAACCCUGAUGCAGCGACGCCGCGUGAGUGAAGAAGUAUUUCGGUAUGUAAAGCUCUAUCAGCAGGGAAGAGAAUGACGGUACCUGAGAAAGAAGCCCCGGCUAACUACGUG